rnacentral:rRNA from 1 species
UACGUAGGAGGCAAGCGUUGUCCGGAAUUACUGGGCGUAAAGCGCGUGUAGGUGGUGGGACAAGUCUGCUGUGAAAGCGCCUGGCUUAACCGGGCGAGGUCGGCGGAAACUGUCCGACUAGAGGACGGUAGAGGGGGGUGGAAUUCCCGGUGUAGUGGUGAAAUGCGUAGAGAUCGGGAGGAACACCUGUGGCGAAGGCGGCCCCCUGGGCCGGGCCUGACACUGAGACGCGAGGGCGUGGGGAGCGAACGGG